CGUGUAGGCUGCUUGGAAAGUCGGAUGUGAAAGCCCUGGGCUCAACCUAGGAAGUGCAUUCGAAACUUCCAAGCUCGAGUUUCGGAGAGGAAGGCGGAAUUCUCGGCGUAGAGGUGAAAUUCGUAGAUAUCGAGAGGAACAUCGGUGGCGAAGGCGGCCUUCUGGACGAUGACUGACGCUGAGACGCGAAAGCGUGGGGAGCAAACA
rnacentral:rRNA from 1 species